AUUGAACGCUGGCGGCAGGCUUAACACAUGCAAGUCGAGCGAGCGGCGGACGGGUGAGUAAUGUAUGGGGAACUGCCUGAUGGAGGGGGAUAACUACUGGAAACGGUAGCUAAUACCGCAUACUAUCAGAUGUGCCCAGAUGGGAUUAGCUAGUAGGUGGGGUAAUGGCUCACCUAGGCGACGAUCCCUAGCUGGUCUGAGAGGAUGACCAGCCACACUGGGACUGAGAAACGGUCCAGACUCCUACGGGAGGCAGCAGUGGGGAAUAUUGCACAAUGGGCGCAAGCCUGAUGCCGCCAUGCCGCGUGUGUGAAGAAGGCCUUCGGGUUGUAAAGCACUUUCAGCGAGGAGGCGUUACUCGCAGAAGAAGCACCGGCUAACUCCGUGCCAGCAGCCGCGGUAAUAC
rnacentral:rRNA from 1 species